CUCGGGAUCCCCCGGGAGGAGCUGGACGAAGUGGCUGGGGAGAGGGAAGUCUGGGCUUCCCUGCUUAGGCUGCUGCCCCCACGACCCGACCUUGGAUAAGCGGAAGAAGAUGGAUGGAUGGAUGGAAUAUUCCGGAUUACCCAGAAUUCCAGGUUUUCCGGGUCAUGUUGCCCUUUGACAGUGAAUGGACAAAAUACAAACCUCUCCAUAUCCCACAUUUCUCACCCAAUUUGAACCGUUCCACCAUCCACACACUCCACUCACCUUGGACAAGAUAAAAAAAAAUCUGGGAAUUCCCAGAAUUCCAGGUUUUCCAAAGCCCAAUUUUCACGUCUUGCCAGUUUUCCCGAAAUUCCAGGAACUCCAAAGUACCCAUGCUCAAUUCAAACUGUUACUCAACAUUUCUCAACCGAUUCAAAAAAUUCCAACACCUACCUAUUCAUAUCAUCUCAGACAAUUGUGCCAGUAAUAAUAUUUUCCACAUUUCCCGGUUUGCCCGAAAUUUCCAGGAAAUUCCCAUUCAAAUGAAUGGACAUAUUCAUAGUUCUACAAUGGCCUAAAUACUCAAAAUUGUGCACCAUUUUUAAACCUGAUUCCGACCUUUCAACCAUCCACACACACUACUCUUCACAUAUAUCGAACGCAAAACAUAUUUUCCCUUUCCCAAAAUUCCUUGUUUUCCCAGAAUUUCCUGUAAUUUUCUUCCCAUUGACAAUUAUACAAACCUCUAUAUCCCACAUUUCUCAUCCGAUUAGAACCGUUCCAGCUUCCACACACUCCACUCACCCUGGGCAAUCAAGCAUUUCAGUUCCACUCACAUGUAUCUGCGGUUUGGCGGAAGUGCACACUGUAGGAAAAUGAAACACUGUACUUUAAUCUAGUCAUUCUUUGGCGUACCACUUGAUGGAGCCGACGUAGCACAGUUUGAGAACCACUGGUCUAAACUUUCCAAGAAACACUGGGCUUAUUCAAACCCUGCGUGACCUUUUUAAAUGCGGUUCUCAGUCCUAUGAAGAGGCAGCCUUGAAUCAAUAAGUGCGUCCAACAUUUAUAUGUCACUCACUCGGAACUAACGUCUGUAUCCUUGUCACCGCAGGACUCACCAAGAGCGGCAAGCGGGUCAAGUCCAAGGAUGCUGGGGGGAGAGUGAAAUCUCCCGUGUUGAUGUCUUUCGCAACUUUUUUCUCCUCGCAUCUCUCCAGCCCGAGGAACUGAGGAGGAGGAGCGUCUAGUUCAGUCGCCGCCAGGAUCCUGAGGAACACUCUUAGCUCUUGUUGACAGUGUCAGAUGGACAUCAUGACUGUGACUAUUGUCUGUGACUAGAUAUUGACUAUUAUUACCAUCAACAAGCAUCCCUUUUUAAAGGCCAACUGAAAUGAUUUUUUUUUAUUUAAACGGGGAUAGCAGAUCCAUUCUAUGUGUCAUACUUGAUCAUUUCGCGAUAUUGCCAUAUUUUUGCUGAAAGGAUUUAGUAGAGAACAUCGACGAUUAAGGUCGCAACUUUUGGUCGCUGAUAAAAAAAGCCUUGCCUGUACCGGAAGUAGCGUGACGUCACAGGUUGAAAGGCUCCUCACAUUUCCCCAUUGUUUACAAUGCAGCGAGAGCGAUUCGGACCGAGAAGGCGAUGAUUACCCCAUUAAUUUGAGCGAGGAUGAAAGAUUUGUGGAUGAGGAACGUGAGAGUGAAGGACUAGAGUGUAGUGCAGGACGUAUCUUUUUUCGCUCUGACCGUAACUUAGGUACAAGGGUUCAUUGGAUUCCACACUUUCUCCUUUUUCUAUUGUGGAUCACGGAUUGGUAUUUUAAACCACCUCGGAUACUAUAUCCUCUUGAAAAUGAGAGUCGAGAACGCAAAAUGGACAUUCACAGUGACUUUUAUCUCCACGACAAUACAUCGGCGAAGCUCUUUAGCUACGGAGCUAACGUGAUAGCACAUCGGGCUUAAAUGCAGAUAGAAACAAAAGAAAUAAACCCCUGACUGGAAGGAUAGACAGAAAAUCAACAAUACUAUUAAACCAUGGACAUGUAAAUACACGGUUAAUGCUUUCCAGGCUGGCGAAGCUUUACAAUGCUGUUGCUAACGACGCCAUUGAAGCUAACUUAGCAACGGGACCUCUACAGAGCUAUGCUAAAAACAAUAGCUAUCCACAUACGCCAGCCCUCAUCUGCUCAUCAACACCCGUGCUCACCUGCGUUCCAUCGAUGGACGGAGCGACGAUCAUAGAUGCGAUCGGCGGCCCGGAGACGGAGGAAGUCAAGGUGAGGUCGGCGGCUAGCGCGUCUGCUAUCCAUCUCAAAGUCCUCCUGGUUGUGUUGCUGCAGCCAGCCGCUAAUACACCGUUCCCACCUACAGCUUUCUUCUUUGCAGUCUUCAUUGUUCAUUAAACAAAUUGCAAAAGAUUCACCAACACAGAUGUCCAGAAUACUGUGGAAGUUUGAGAUGAAAACAGAGCUUUUUGUAUUGGAUUCAAUGGUGUACCAAUACUUUCGGUUCAACGAUUGACAUCACCCGCAUACGUCAUCAUACAUAGACGUUUUCAACCGGAAGUUUAGCUGGAAAUUUAAAAUUGCACUUUAUAAGUUAACCCGGCCGUAUUGGCAUGUGUUGCAAUGUUAAGAUUUCAUCAUUGAUAUAUAAACUAUCAGACUGCGUGGUCGGUAGUAGUGGGUUUCAGUAGGCCUUUAAUGAUUCCCCUAUAACGCCACAUUUUUACUUUUGUUCACACAUUGUGAAUU